UCCACGUAAUCACUCAACAUGAGGAGUAGGAAAGGUAUAUGAAGUGUAUUCAGAGGCUACUACUGAUGCAGAAUGAAAGACAUAACAAUGUGGUCAUGUUUUGGAGUUACUUCAUGUCCUCUGAACUGGAACUCUUUCAAGCCAAAUACACAUCCUGGGUAGUGUUGUAUUAUGUAAUAUUAAAAUCUUGACAUUAAGGAAUUCACUCAAUAUUCAACCCGUUACCACAAGGUCGGUGGAGACAGGCAAGACAGACAAGCUCCUGCACACCGAGGAGCAGCUCCCCCUGACUGACAGGAUGGUGAUGGACCAACCAGACAUAGUGGUGGUGGAGAAGAAACAGAGCAGAGCCGUGGUGGUGGACAUCACAAUACCAAGCGAUGGUAAUAUCAGGAAAAAGGAACACGAGAAACUAGAGAAAUACCAGGGGCUCAAGGAGGAGCUGGAGAGAGCCUGGAAAGUGAAGGCAUCAGUGGUGCUUGUGGUGAUCGGAGCACUUAGGGCUGUAACCCCCAAACUGGAAGAGGCUACAACAGAUACCAGGAAAAACAACGGACAUCUCAGUCCAGAAAAGUGCAGUAUUAGGAACAGAAAAGAUACUGCACAGAACUCUCAGGCUCCCAGGCCUCUGGUAGAGGAGCCGAGCUGAAUGAGAGUGAGAGACCAACCACCGUGGAAGAGACCGCAAGACGAUCCUUGCCUUCCUUCCUCUCUCCUCCCUGUGUCUCUCCUUCCUGUCUCCUUUGUGAGUGGGACUUCUUCGCCCAUUCCAGCAGAAUUGAGGAGAGGAAUCAAGAAGAAGGAAGCAAAGAAAGAGAAAUGAGAUGUGGCCAAAGUGUUUUGGCUCUGCUUUGGAGGAGCCGAUUCUGGAGGAGUGCUACAAAGUUGUCUUUGGAGGAAGAAUCCUGGGAAUUGAGAAAUACGCUGUCU